GACAGAAACGGCCUUUUUGCUUCUCAUGGG
rnacentral:piRNA from 1 species